AUGAAGAACGUAGCGAAAUGCGAUAAGUAGUGUGAAUUGCAGAAUUCAGUGAAUCAUCGAAUCUUUGAACGCACAUUGCGCCCCUUGGUAUUCCAUGGGGCAUGCCUGUUCGAGCGUCAUUUGUACCUUCAAGCCUUGCUUGGUGUUGGGUGUUUGUCUCGCCUCUGCGCGCAGACUCGCCUCAAAACAAUUGGCAGCCGGCGUAUUGAUUUCGGAGCGCAGUACAUCUCGCGCUUUGCACUCAGAACGACGACGUCCAAAAGUACAUUUUUACACUCUUGACCUCGGAUCAGGUAGGGAUACCCGCUGAACUUAAGCAUAUCAAUAAGCGGAGGA
rnacentral:misc_RNA from 1 species